UACAGGGGGGGCAAGCGUUGUUCGGAAUUACUGGGCGUAAAGGGCUUGUAGGUGGCCAACUAAGUCCGACGUGAAAUCCCUAGGCUUAACCUAGGAACUGCGUCGGAUACUGGAUGGCUUGAAUCCGGGAGAGGGAUGCGGAAUUCCAGGUGUAGCGGUGAAAUGCGUAGAUAUCUGGAGGAACACCGGUGGCGAAGGCGGCC
rnacentral:rRNA from 1 species